AGUAGGCUAGGCUGAAAGAGAUAGAAUAGUGGGCUUGGUGUGGAAGGAUCGAUGGGGCCGUUAGGGAGUGCCGUCUCUCAGGUUACCGCAUGUGUGUGUGUUGCUCACAAGCUCAUCUGGAGCUCUGCCCUGACCACACACACUCUCCAACGGCUUGCCUCUGACUCAAAUACCCCCUCUGCCCUCCACUAGUGGAUCUCUACACCCUACCCAAGCAGGCCUUUGGGCAACAAGAAAACAAUGAUUCAACCAUUGGAAUGCUGAUAGUGUGCUGGAAAAAAAAGGUUUUCAGGGGCCUCAAUGCAGGAUGUGUGCUUGUGUGAAAUGCUCCCAGAACAUAUGGAGGAAGAUCCGCCAGGCCCUGCUUCACAGCUGUCUGCACC